rnacentral:rRNA from 1 species
GAUGAACGCUAGCGGCAGGCCUAAUACAUGCAAGUCGAACGAGAUUGAGGAGCUUGCUCUUCAUGAAAGUGGCGCACGGGUGCGUAACGCGUAUGCAACCUACCUUAAUCAGGGGGAUAGCCUCUCGAAAGAGAGAUUAACACCGCAUAACAUUAUUAUAUGGCAUCAUAUGAUAAUCAAAUAUUUAUAGGAUUAAGAUGGGCAUGCGUGACAUUAGUUAGUGGGCGGGGUAACGGCCCACCAAGACGAUGAUGUCUAGGGGAUCUGAGAGGAUGACCCCCGACAGUGGUGCUGAGACACGGACCAGACUCCUACGGGAGGGAGCAGUAAGGAAUAUUGGUCAAUGGGCGCAAGCCUGAACCAGCCAUGCCGCGUGCAGGAAGACGGCCCUACGGGUUGUAAACUGCUUUUAUACUGGAAUAAACCUACUUACGUGUAAGUAGCUGAAUGUACAGUAAGAAUAAGGAUCGGCUAACUCCGUGCCAGCAGCCGCGGUAACAC